CCUACGGGAGGCAGCAGUAAGGAAUAUUGGUCAAUGGACGCAAGUCUGAACCAGCCAUGCCGCGUGAAGGAUUAAGGCCCUCUGGGUUGUAAACUUCUUUUAUAGGGGACGAAAAAAGGGCAUUCUUGCUCACUUGACGGUACCCUAGGAAUAAGCACCGGCUAACUCCGUGCCAGCAGCCGCGGUAAUACGGAGGGUGCAAGCGUUAUCCGGAUUUACUGGGUUUAAAGGGUGCGUAGGUGGGUUGGUAAGUCAGUGGUGAAAUCUUCGAGCUUAACUCGGAAACUGCCAUUGAUACUAUCAAUCUUGAAUCAUCUAGAGGUAAGCGGAAUAUGUCAUGUAGCGGUGAAAUGCUUAGAUAUGACAUAGAACACCAAUUGCGAAGGCAGCUUACUAUGGAUGC
rnacentral:rRNA from 1 species